GAUGAACGCUGGCGGCGUGCCUAAUACAUGCAAGUCGAGCGAACAGACGAGGAGCUUGCUCCUCUGACGUUAGCGGCGGACGGGUGAGUAACACGUGGAUAACCUACCUAUAAGACUGGGAUAACUGCGGGAAACCGGAGCUAAUACCGGAUAAUAUAUUGAACCGCAUGGUUCAAUAGUGAAAGACGGUUUUGCUGUCACUUAUGGAUGGAUCCGCGCCGCAUUAGCUAGUUGGUAAGGUAACGGCUUACCAAGGCAACGAUGCGUAGCCGGCCGGAGAGGGUGAUCGGCCACACUGGAACUGAGAGCCGGUCUAGGCUCCUACGGGAGGCAGCAGUAGGAAAUCUUGCGCCAGGGGCGAAAGCCUGACGGAGCAACGCCGCGUGAGUGAUGAAGGUCUUCGGAUCGUAAAACUCUGUUAUGAGGUAAGAACAAAUGUGUAAGUAACUAUGCACGUCUUGACGGUACCUAAUCAGAAAGCCACGGCUAACUACGUG
rnacentral:rRNA from 1 species